ACCUGUUGAGCAUGAACCAUGUGCCAGGCACAGUUUGGGUGCUGAGGCUGAACAGAUGGGCAGGACAGCUUCUCUGCCCUCAAGAUACUUAUGGUCCACUGGGGGAGAAAGCCAAUAAAUGGCUUCUGCAACUUGGCUGGGUGACAGGAGACUAUGGAUGGAGCCCACUCAUUCCAGGGACAACACUGGAUGACCACGUCAUUCCUACUGCCCUCUUCCCACAUCUGAUUCUCCAGCUUCCUGUAUGCACUUUGAGAUAUCUUGCACCCCUGCAGCAAUUUUCCAUUUUGCUUAUGUCAGCCAGAUUGCAUGUCUGCUAUUUUAACUGAAUCAGGAUCUGAACACAGACUUGGGCAGGCGGAAGGAAUGGGAGAACAGCCAAAAAGAGGAGGCCUAUGACACCGAGCCGUACAGUAUGAGAAGGCCUGGCAAGGGGAAAGAGAGCAGGGGGCCUCCACGAGGAAGGGGCAGCAGUCUGCAGGCUUGGAGGUGAGAGAGAGCCUGCGCAGUUAGCAAAUGUGAGCAGAGGAUGAGAAAAAAAGAUAUUUGUGUUUAUACAACUGAUCCCCAGGGUCAGUUUGCUGGAAUACCAGAGCACAAGUUUUGGGAGGAGCACAAAGUUCUGUGGGUUUAUCUAGAAAGUCGCUUCGAGCUGCAGAAAUGAGACAUUGUGAGUCAACAGCUGAGGACCAGCCUGGCCCCCCUCCUUGGAAGCUGUGACUGCAGGUAGAUGUGGUCAAGUGACCGACUUCUAGCCAAUGGAACAGGGGCAGCAUGCUCCAUGGGAGCCUCCCACGUGUGAUCCUGUCUCUAUUCCCCUGUCUGUCAGCUCAAGGUCAACGUCCAGGGUGACCUUGGGAACUACAUGAUGAAGAUGGCAGAGCUGCUGUCAGUCUGGGUCCCGGAAUGACCCAGACUCAACUGAGUUGAGCCAAUAUCUCAUCCACCUUGUCCCCCACCACAAUCUAGACACA
rnacentral:lncRNA from 1 species